UAGGGCCACCUGCGCGCUCCUCGGGGACCCUGGCAACCCGUUUCUCUUGCCUUCUCCUUCCGAAGUCAUUUCUUCCUCUGGACUUCCUACCGCCAGUCUAGACAGCCUACAACCCCACUUGUUACUCUAGGGAAGGAAACGUUCAAGGUCUAAAAGAUGAGGAAAUUGAGGAACAUGGUAGGAAAGUCUGGAGUCAGUCCUCUGCUAAACCUUAAGACUGGGAAGACCCAAAAUCCAGGCCAGAAAUUCCAGCCAGACUCUGCACAGAGCCAACUGGAUGCAUCUCACACUCCACAGAAAGACUGAUCUGGCCUCAGAAAGUUACAGUCCUCUCGACCCAGGAUGCACACUGAGCUGGUGGAAAGAUUCCCAAAGGUUCACUUGAGCCUACAAAUAGGUUAUUGUGCAAGUGGCAGGUAGAUGGCCAAGAGGCAGGACAGUGCAAAGUGAGGAGCACAAGACCAUCCCGGGCCUGGGUCCAGUUUCCCUCCCUGUUGUUAGCCAUCUGCUGCAUCACUCCAGUGGCUUCUCUGCCUGACCUCCUUCCGCCUCUGUUUCUACACUUGCCCUGGAGAUAUGAACUACUCUUGGUCCACACAGCUGAAUAUAUCUCCCUUAGGCUGACGGCUUCUCGAAAGUUACUGAAAUAAUUUACCUAAAGUGGCCAUUUGUCGUGUGGUGAUUUGAAUAAGCAAAGCUUGAUCCAAUUCGAGUUUGAUUCUAGAGUGCCAUUUACUUCACAACUGUUUAUUAAAUGCUGGUAAUGUGCUAGAUACGACCCUAGCUGUGGGGCCAGAGUGAUCAGUUACUCUCUAGCAGGUGAAAGAGGAAGAAUGAAACCAAUAGGUACCUACCUAAACAA